AGACUUGCAGGGGAGUAAAACUGUUUAGAGUCCAAUUCUCCUGGACAGAAGCAGCUGGAACCUCUGUGUUAACUCUGAGGAAUGGAAGCCCCAAGGCACACAGUUCUUGCUUUAUUAACUGGGACGUAGUUUAAAGCCAAAUUUCACCUUUCCCAUCAUUAAGGGAGAUGAAGGAGGGCAGCAUGACAAUGGUCUGCACCACAUCCCCCUGCUCAGACACAUAAUGGGGCUGGGGAGGCUUUUCUGUGGAAACACUCUGGUCCUGGAUUGAAAUCCUGCCCAGCUGCCUUGGAAUGAGAUACAAAGGUGGAUAAAGAAAUCUGGAUCACAGUGAUAAGCUCCUGAAGGGAGGACCAGGCCCAGCAGCGUGAAAAGCAGUGGUGUUAUUGCAAUUUUAUGCUGUGUGAGCCGUUCAGUCAAAACCGAUGUGAGGAUUUUUUAUUUGCUGAAAGAUUGGGGUGAAAGUUCUGGCAGAGCAACAGGAAC